UUUUCCUCUCUCAAUAGGAAAAUAUGAUCCUUCAGUUUGGGCACUUUUUCUUGUGAAUCGGGUUCAGAGCAGCCGCAUAGUAAGGGCUUUCUUCUAAGCCCCACCCACUGCUUCUGUGCUUCUUCCUUUUUUUUUUUUUUCCCCCUUGUCCUUGGCUGUGUCCUGAUAGCAGAUCACCACUUUUGAUGGAUGAAGCUAAACAUCCUCAGUGUGGCCUUCCCCUCUGAACAAGAUGACUCAUGUACUUCCAAAGCACACUCAGUGCUCAGUGCUGCGGGCUGAUAGUGGCCUGAGGCUCCAGACAGGGUACCUACAACCCCAGGCCCCCUGCAGAAAACAAAGGCCAGUUGAGGAAGGAGGCACUGGAGUGGUGACCGGGGCACACUCGGGCAGGGGACAGUGGAACCGGGCCUCUGGAAAGACUUCCAUCAAAAAUUUCAGAAGUUAGUGUCUUGCUAACCUUUGGAAAUAAAUGGCUAUUGGAACAGAUGGCCUGCAUCGGAAAUUCAAUCUUUUUCAAAACUUUUAGGAACAAGAUUCACCCAAGAAGUUAUCCCAACUCUGUUGUGAGAUAUUUGAUUACACCAUGUGAAGAUGUGUCAUUGUGAUUGAUUUAAUAAAAAGCUAACCAACAGCUAGGCAAGAGGUCUGGUAGGGACUUCUGGACAGAAAGAGCUCUGGAAAGAAGAAAAGCAGACUCUCCAGUCAGAUGCGGAGGAAGCAGGAUGGGCACAAUGGAGAUGAG